rnacentral:lncRNA from 1 species
ACUAAACUACGUGCAAAAAGAAGAUGAACAAGUGGAUUCAUUUCUCUCUCCUAACCAUCUUUAAUCAGUAGUUGGUAGAAGAAAUUUUUGAUUAACCUAUUGUACUAGUUUCUGGAUUCAGUGAAGCAUCUUAAUCUUUGUUUUUAUACUGACAACCUAUCAUCUUUGAAGGGAAACAAAUAUGAUGGUAUCAUGGAGAACCAGGAUCUAUCUUCAGAAAAGGAGUGGAGGCAGGGGAAGUUCACAGUUCGUUUCUGGUUUUUGCUAUCUCUCAGCCAAACUUAUCUCAGGAAACUUUCCUCUGCUCACUUUCUCUUGAGCUCUCUU